CAGUAACCAGCAGGUAGCCUAGUGGUUAGAGCGCUGGGCCAGUAACCAGCAGGUAGCCUAGUGGUUAGAGCGCUGGGCCAGUAACCAGCAGGUAGCCUAGUGGUUAGAGCGCUGGGCCAGUAACCAGCAGGUAGCCUAGUGGUUAGAGCGCUGGGCCAGUAACCAGCAGGUAGCCUAGUGGUUAGAGCGCUGGGCCAGUAACCAGCAGGUAGCCUAGUGGUUAGAGCGCUGGGCCAGUAACCAGCAGGUAGCCUAGUGGUUAGAGCGCUGGGCCAGUAACCAGCAGGUAGCCUAGUGGUUAGAGCGCUGGGCCAGUAACCAGCAGGUAGCCUAGUGGUUAGAGCGCUGGGCCAGUAACCAGCAGGUAGCCUAGUGGUUAGAGCGCUGGGCCAGUAACCAGCAGGUAGCCUAGUGGUUAGAGCGCUGGGCCAGUAACCAGCAGGUAGCCUCGUGGUUAGAGCGCUGGGCCAGUAACCAGCAGGUAGCCUCGUGGUUAGAGCGCUGGGCCAGUAACCAGCAGGUAGCCUAGUGGUUAGAGCGUUGGGCCAGUAACCAGCAGGUAGCCUAGUGGUUAGAGCGCUGGGCCAGUAACCAGCAGGUAGCCUAGUGGUUAGAGCGUUGGGCCAGUAACCAGCAGGUAGCCUAGUGGUU